rnacentral:rRNA from 1 species
CCUACGGGCGGCAGCAGUGAGGAAUAUUGGUCAAUGGACGAGAGUCUGAACCAGCCAAGUAGCGUGAAGGAUGACUGCCCUAUGGGUUGUAAACUUCUUUUAUAUGGGAAUAAAAUGUUCCACGUGUGGGAUUUUGUAUGUACCAUAUGAAUAAGGAUCGGCUAACUCCGUGCCAGCAGCCGCGGUAAUACGGAGGAUCCGAGCGUUAUCCGGAGUUAUUGGGUUUAAAGGGAGCGUAGGUGGAUUGUUAAGUCAGUUGUGAAAGUUUGCGGCUCAACCGUAAAAUUGCAGUUGAAACUGGCAGUCUUGAGUACAGUAGAGGUGGGCGGAAUUCGUGGUGUAGCGGUGAAAUGCUUAGAUAUCACGAAGAACUCCGAUUGCGAAGGCAGUUCACUGGACUGCAACUGACACUGAGGCUCGAAAGUGUGGGUAUCAAACAGGAUUAGAUACCCGAGUAGUC